rnacentral:rRNA from 1 species
CCUUGUCGGGUAAGUUCCGACCCGCACGAAAGGCGUAAUGAUUUGGGCACUGUCUCAACGAGAGACUCGGUGAAAUUUUAGUACCUGUGAAGAUGCAGGUUACCCGCGACAGGACGGAAAGACCCCAUGGAGCUUUACUGCAGUUUGAUAUUGAGUAUCUGUACCACAUGUACAGGAUAGGUAGGAGCCAUUGACUUCGGGACGCCAGUUUCGAAUGAGGCGUUGUUGGGAUACUACCCUUGUGUUAUGGCUACUCUAACCCAGAUAGGUUAUCCCUAUCGGAGACAGUGUCUGACGGGCAGUUUGACUGGGGCGGUCGCCUCCUAAAGAGUAACGGAGGCGCCCAAAGGUUCCCUCAGAUUGGUUGGAAAUCAAUCGCAGAGUGUAAAGGUAUAAGGGAGCUUGACUGCGAGAGCUACAACUCGAGCAGGGACGAAAGUCGGGCUUAGUGAUCCGGUGGUACCGAAUGGAAGGGCCAUCGCUCAA